rnacentral:lncRNA from 1 species
GUUUGUUUUCUCUUUAAACAUUUGUCCCAUGGAGCACAACUUCGGUAGAAUUCUAACAAGUCAAAUGCAGAAGUUAGGUGAAGUCAGUUCUUGGAUACUCCUGUACUGUCACCCUGGUCUUAUCUCAUGCCUUAGCCCAAGCUAUGCACACAAUGGGGUCCUAGGUCCCCCUCCCCUCCCAGAUUCCGCCUUCCCAGGGAUGGGACCCCCUAGAACCCUCGGAGGCCUGGGCAGUGGCCUCGCUGGCUCUCGCCUUCCUAGGAGCUGAGCAGGAGCUCCACUCUCAGCAGGGCAGGGUGCCCCAGAUCCAUGACUUGUGGCACGAAGGGGCUCCCCAAGAAGCUGUGAAGCCACAGGGCCAGGCUUGGGGCCAGGGCUGCAGCCAACAGGACACAUCCUGGUGCUGCUCGGGAGCUGACUCACGGCUCUGAAAUCAUUCAGUGAUGUCCACAUUCAGCCUUUGUUUACGAUGCUGCUACUUUUUCAUGGCCUGAAAUUGCAGCACACC